CUAUGCUAUUUUUGUCUAAUAGGUUAAUAUUUAUGUUAACUGUUGGAGGAGCAAGUUUAUCAAGAAAAUCAUUUGCUAUACUACUGGGGAGUGAUACAGAAUGGGUUGUAUUAUAAGCUGACUUGAAUCUUCUUAUCUUUUUCCAUACAUCUGAUGGAGGAGUAUGAGGAGAUAAGGAGGAGCAGAAAUUUCUCCAACCAUCACUUUUUUUUCUUUUGAAAACCUGUUUUCUUUUUUUUAUAGCUUCCGUACAAUCUUUAUCCCACCAAGGUGGACUAGGAAUAUGAGAAGGUUCAUUUUUCACUGGGAAGAUUUCAUUAGCACUUUCAAUCAAGACAUCCGUGAAAACAGGAGCAUCAAUAAGUGCAUCAUUAGACAAUAAUUGUAGCAAUUUUGUAUCUACUUUAUUACUAAAUUGCUCCCAUGUUUCUGAUGUAACAUUAUUAAGAUUAUAUCUAGGGAGCAGUUUUAUGUUCUGUUUUGGUACAUUUACAUUAUUAAAAGCACAAGAAGUGAUUACAGGAAAAUGAUCACUUCCAUAGGUUGAACUUAAUACAGAACAAGUUAAUUGUGGCACAAACUGUGGUGAACAAAUAGUUAGGUCCACCACGCUUUUACCUUCAAAAGGCAGAGUCCGCCUUGUAGGCUCUCCAGAAUUUAUAAUACACAAAUUAUUUACAUCAAGAAUAUCUAAAAGCUUAUUACCAUAACUGUUACUAACUGAACUACCCCAGGACUGAUGCUGGC
rnacentral:misc_RNA from 1 species